AACCUGCCCACCACCAAGAACCCAUACAUGACUUUCUUUUCAUUGUAUCAAAGUAAUGUGUCCACCGGUGUGAGCACCAGCAACUCACUUCUUCCUCAGACAUCUCUAAAGCUGGAAAGAUUUUGAGGGACAAUAUGGUUUCCUUCACCCCACCCCAAUGUUAUGAAUGAGACCAGCAGACCAACAGCAAACACCUAGAAGGAACAGCUGUUCUUCAUGGGUGACUGCUGUGAAACCAACAGGAUGGCCUCUUUUCUAUUUAAUUCUAAGAGUGGGCAUAAGGUAAGCGUUUACAAGAUUUUACUGAAAGUUUUGGAAUGUAAGAAGGAAAAUGCUACACUGAAUAUAAUUACAACUAUUCAGGCACAGACGCAUCCCAGAGUCUCCUACCAAGUUGACUCUCCUGUCUGUCUUCCUUUUCUGCCUUCACUUGGCUUCAGACAGCUCACCUUCCAACCACUGGAAGUGUUUAUAGCAUCUCCACAUCUGUCCACAAGGUGGAGUUCAAGGCCAAAUUUUUCACCAGCCCCAGAUACUGAAAGGAGUACUUUUUCUUCAUUCAUAGUCAAGGUAAAAUAUUGGGUAGGUCCUUUGGAGUUCUAGACUCAGUUUGAGAUUACAGAAGAUAUGCUCAACAUCCUCCUUUGACCUGGUCCCAGUUUCACCAUAUUUGAUAGAUGCUUUAUAGUCUCUGGUAAGGAGG
rnacentral:sRNA from 1 species